AACGAACGCUGGCGGCAGGCUUAAUACAUGCAAGUCGAACGGGCGCAGCAAUGCGUCAGUGGCAGACGGGUGAGUAACACGUGGGAACCUUCCUCGUUGUACGGAACAACUCAGGGAAACUUGAGCUAAUACCGUAUAAGUCCGAGAGGAGAAAGAUUUAUCGCAAUGAGACGGGCCCGCGUCGGAUUAGGUAGUUGGUGAGGUAACGGCUCACCAAGCCGACGAUCCGUAGCUGAUCUGAGAGGAUGAUCAGCCACACUGGGACUGAGACACGGCCCAGACUCCUACGGGAGGCAGCAGUAGGGAAUCUUGGACAAUGGGCGCAAGCCUGAUCCAGCCAUGCCGCGUGAGUGAAGAAGGCCUU
rnacentral:rRNA from 1 species